rnacentral:rRNA from 1 species
GCCAGCAGCUAUAUCACUCUGCAACACCUGGCAGCCCGCUGAAGCUCAGCAGGUGUGAGCCUGGUCAGUACCUGAUGGGAGACCUCCUGGGAAAGCUAGAGUUGCUGCUGGAA